UAUUGCACUUGCCAAUAUAAUUUAGUAACCUGAUGUCAUUAUUCUUAAACACAGUCCUACUUCCUACAGGCUACAGAUAUAUAUGUACAUACACACAUACAUGCAUUUAGGAUUAUUUAAAACUGCCUUUUAAUGCUUAAUGUUUUGUUUUUGUUUUUCAGCUCUUCUGCGUGAUCUGUUGGUAAACCAACACAUUCUGCUGGACCAGCAGAAGACCAUGAUCCGCAUUCUUCAGGACCUCCACAAAUCCAUCCAGGGAGGUCAGAUGUGCACCACCACCAGGCAUACUGCUUAUUUUCCCCUGGGGGAUGAGGGGGCACUGGAGGUCUUGGAGUGCGACCUCGCAAGCAGGGACCUUCAACAGGAAUUGGUCAUCACUCUUGGAUUGGCAGGGGGGGUGGAUGUGAAGGACAGUGUCUGGCGCAUACUGAAGCAGGCCAUCAGGAACAAUCUGGCCAAGAAAAUGUCAUGGCGGGGAUUGAAUGGGAAAAUCCCGUUUGAGAAAUGACAUCUCAAAUCAGUUGUUAUGGAUGCAGUGAGGAGAAAUCCAUCCUGCUUAUCUGCUACAAACAAAGAAAUUGGGGAGGCUGUG